AUGGAUUGCAGGACAGGGCUGCUUCUUUUAACUCUCUACUGGACAGGCCUCGAUGGUCAGACUUUGACUGAAUCUGAACCAGUGGUGAAGAGACCAGGAGAAUCUCACAAGCUGACAUGUACAGGCUCUGGAUUCACAUUCAGCAGCUAUGAGAUGGACUGGAUCAGACAGGCUCCUGGAAAAGGACUGGAGUGGAUUGCAUACAUAAGUAACCCCAGUGGAAGCACCCAGUACUAUUCUCCAUCAGUUCAAGGCCGCUUCACCAUUUCUAGAGACAACAGCAAACAGCAGCUGUAUCUACAGAUGAACAAUCUGAAGGCUGAAGAUUCUGCGGUUUAUUAUUGUGCACGGCAUCCGCACAGUGACCAAAAAUAGUUUGGUAGCUGUACAAAAACAAACUAUGCUGAUGUUCAAGAGAUCUAAACGAUCAUGGUGUAGAGAAGGAAGAUAUUUAUUUGGACAAUAUCAUCAUUUAACUGAUUAAUAUCACAAUUUAUUCAACUUCAAAUGUUCAGUAUUGCUGGAUUUAAAAACACAUCCACAAGCAACAAAUUAUUCAUCAAAUCUAUGCUGACACAAACAAUUAAAGCUGUGUGUGAUGGAACAUUGUCACAAAUUGAAACGCUUGAAGAAGCUUUUUCAGCAGC